rnacentral:rRNA from 1 species
AUUGAACGCUGGCGGCAUGCUUUACACAUGCAAGUCGAACGGUAACAGGCCGCGAGGUGCUGACGAGUGGCGAACGGGCGAGUAAUGCAGCGGAACGUGCCCAGUCGUGGGGGAUAACUACUCGACAGAGUGGCUAAUGCCGCAUACGAUUUAUGAAUGAGAACGGGGGACCGUAAGGCCUCGCGGCGUUGGAGCAGCCGAUGUCGGAUUGGGUAGUUGGUGGGUUAGAGGCGCCACAAGCCAACGAUCUGUAGCUGGUCUGAGAGGAAGACCAGCCACACUGGGACAGAGACACGGCCCAGACUCCGACGGGAGGCAGCAGCGGGGAAUUUUGGACGAGGGGCGCAAGCCGGAUCCAGCAAUGCCGCGUGAAGGAAGAAGGCCUUCGGGUGGGAAACUGAAUUUGUACGGAGGUAAACGGAGCUGGUUAAUACGCGGAGCUAAUGACGGUACCGGAAGAAUAAGCACCGGCUAACUACGUG